CGUGACAAAGUUGGUAUCAGAGCUCGGUUGAGGUCUAGUAAACUUGCGGAGCAUAGGAUCCUUAACGUCUUUUCAGUUUAUCAUUGCUUUAGAUAUCUGCGUCCUUCAUACUUUUUCACCUGUCUUAAUUUGGCUCACAUUUUCAAAUUUAAUGCUUGUUUAUUAAAAUGAAUAGGUGCCUGGGUCUGUUAGACGUAAGAGGAGAACUAGGACCAAGGGUCUUAAUGGUACAAACCUUGAUCCAACAGGGGAGGUACCACCUCAAACUAUUAAUCAGACAUCUGAACAGACGCCUAUGGCUAAGACUGGGGCACAACCAUUCCAAUUAGCUACUGCAGCUCAAGCACCUAGGGCUGGUCAAGUUACUGUGGCAGAUCUGGCAGCGGGUUUGCAUGCAGUGAAUCGUGCCGUUAAUACUAUAGCUGAGUACCUUACAACUCAACCACAGCAACCAGUGGUUGGCUCUACUUCAGUACCAGCUCAGGAUAGAGCUCGAUUCCUUGACUCUACAGACUUUCUCAAGCUAAAACCAAAGGAGUUCACUGGAGAGGAUGCAUUAGCUGAUCCCUUAGAUUUUCUAGAUGACAUGGAGAGGUGUUAUGACACUAUGGGUUGCAGUAGUGCUAGGAUGGUGAUGUUGGCAGGAAAUCAGUUUAAGGGAGUUGCUCGUGAGUGGUAUAUCUCUAAGAAGAAUGGGCGACCUGAAGGUUCUAUCCUCUGGCCUGAAUUUCAUUCUCUCUUCUUGGAGCGAUUUCUCCCUCCUAGUGUUCAAGAGGCUAAGGCUUUGGAGUUUGAAACCUUGAAGCAAGGUAAAAUGGCAGUUACAGAGUAUGAGAUGAAGUUUACCAAAUUAUCCCGUUUUGGUAAACACUUGAUUCCAAAUGAGGAGAAGAAGGCUCGCAGGUUUGAAAGGGGCUUACGAGACAGGCUAAUUGAUCGUGUAGCUCAUUUACGACUACCUAAAUAUGAGGAGGUGGUUGAUCGGGCUAGACAGAUGGAGAUGUAUGAUGAUGAACGUUGGGCUCGUGAGCAGCGCAAGCGGUUUAAGAAAGAUAGUCAAGGUAAUCAAUUUAACAGAGGACAGAGUCAUCAAGGUUCUUAUCAGGAUAAUAAGCAGGGUUCUCAGUCUACAGUUGGCAAUAGGGCACAUCAAUCUGGAGUUGGUCAGGGACGUGACCAAAGGACACAUGCAGGGAAUGCUCGGUAUAACCAGAUUAGCACUGAGCCUAUUACCACUCUUUGUCAUCAUUGUGGUAAGCCACAUAAGGGCACUUGUCAUUGGGUCACUGGAGCAUGCUUUGGUUGUGGACAGCUGGGACACCGUAGACAGGACUGUCCUACUAGUGAGACAACUCAGGGUGCUGGUCAAGCAACACAUUCUACUCCCUCUCAGGCUCAACCAGUUUCACAGUAUAGUGGUAGAAGUCAGGGUUUUGGUGGUCGCGGUCAGGGUGGUAGAGGUUCUGGUGGUAGAGGAUUUGUUCAAACUCAGGGACAGACAUUUGGUGGUAGAGGUCAAGUUAGAGUUUUUGCUUUGACUCAGCAGGAUGCUCAGGCAUCUAAUGCAGUAGUGACAGGUACACUUCCUAUUUGCUCAUUUGAUGCUAGAGUACUGUUUGAUCCUGGUUCCAGUCAUUCCUUUGUUUUUCUAUACUUUUCCAUGAGAUUUUGUACACCACCUACUUUGUUAAGAGUAUCCUUUAUCUGUAUCAAUACAUAUGGGGGAUGCAGUAGACACUGAUAUGGUGUAUAGGGGAUGUAUAGUUCACAUUGGAGAUAGGGAAUUAGCUGCAGAUCUUGUUUCUUUGGAUAUGUUUGAGUUUGAUGUGAUUUUAGGCAUGGAUUGGUUAGCCACUUAUCACGUUUCAUUGGAUUGUCAUAAUAAAGUUGUACUCUUUAAAAUUCCUGGGGAGGCAGAAUUUCAAUUUCAGGGAGAUCGCAGUAUGGCCUCUAGUAAUCUUAUCUCUGUAGUGAGUGCUAGACGAUUAUUGCGAAAGAGGUGUAAAGGGUAUCUAGCUUAUGUUAGAGAUGUUCAGGUAGAAGGUGCAGGUUUGGAGAAAGUUGCAGUGGUUAAAGAGUUUCCUGAUGUGUUUCCAGAAGAUUUAUCGGAUUUACCCCCGGAGUGAGAGGUAGAGUUUGGUAUAGACUUAGUUCCUGGAACCGAGCCCAUAUCUAUGCCACCUUAUCGUAUGGCACCCGCAGAACUUAAGGAGUUGAAGGAGCAACUACAGGACCUACUAGAUAAGGGGUUUAUUCGCCCUAGUGUUUCUCCAUGGGGUGCUCCUGUGUUAUUUGUACGGAAGAAGGAUGGGUCUUUGAGAAUGUGCAUUGAUUAUAGGCAAUUGAAUAAGGUAACUGUGCGUAAUAAGUAUCCUCUUCCACGCAUAGAUGACCUGUUUGACCAACUUCAAGGUGCAAAGUAUUUUUCCAAGAUUGAUCUUCGAUCUGGGUAUCAUCAAUUGAGGGUCAAGAAAGAAGACAUACUCAAGACGGCCUUUAGGACUAGGUAUGGACACUAUGAAUUUCUUGUAAUGUCUUUUGGUCUUACCAAUGCUCCGGCCGCUUUUAUGGAUCUCAUGAACAGAGUUUUCAAGCCUUUCUUAGAUCAAUUUGUUAUAGUGUUCAUCGAUGACAUUCUAGUGUACUCAAAGAGUAAGGAGGAGCAUGAGCAGCAUUUGAGAAUUGUCCUUCAGACCUUACGAGAACACAAGCUAUAUGCCAAGUUCUCAAAAUGUGAGUUUUGGUUAGAUAGUGUGGCUUUCCUAGGCCAUACAGUAUCUAAGGAUGGGGUGUGCGUUGAUAAGAAGAAAGUUGAGGCAGUGCUUCAUUGGCCUAGACCCACAACUGUGUCAGAGAUUCGUAGUUUCUUGGGUUUAGCAGGGUAUUAUAGACGGUUUGUUCAAGACUUCUCUCGUAUUGCAGCACCUUUAACUAAGUUGACACAGAAGAAUGUGAAAUUUCAGUGGUCUGAGGCUUGUGAAAAAAGUUUUCAGGAGCUUAAGACUCGUUUAACUACAACACCAGUGUUAGCCCUUCCAUCUGGAUCAGGGGGUUAUGUAGUAUAUUGUGAUGCUUCUAGGAUUGGUUUAGGAUGUGUUUUGAUGCAGCAUGGACGGAUUAUUGCAUAUGCUUCUCGUCAGUUGAAAAGGCACGAGCAGAAUUAUCCAACUCAUGAUUUGGAAAUGGCUGCAGUAAUUUUUGCUUUGAAAAUCUGGAGGCACUAUCUGUAUGGUGAGACUUGUGAAAUCUUCACUGACCACAAAAGUCUCAAAUACAUCUUUGACCAACGUGAUCUUAAUCUUAGGCAAAGGAGAUGGGUAGAAUUGCUGAAGGAUUAUGAUUGCACCAUACAGUAUCACCCUGGAAAAGCUAAUGUAGUGGCUGAUGCUCUAAGCAGGAAGUCUUCUGGUAGUUUAGCCCAUAUAUCUACCAAGAUGAGGCCUUUGAUUGGUGAAUUACAUGAGUUGCUAGAUCAGGGCGUAGAGUUUGAAAUCAUAGCUGGAUCAUUCUUAGCACAUUUUCGAGUUAGGCCUAUCUUGAUUGAUCGAAUUAAGGUUGCCCAAAAGAGGGAUUCUCAGCUGUGUGAGAUUAUAGAUAAUAUUCAUCAAGGACAAGCUCAAGGAUUCAUAUUGAAUGAUGAUGGAGUUCUUCGUUAUGGCACUAGACUUUGUGUCCCCAAUGUUGAUGAGUUGAGAAGAGAAAUCAUGGAGGAGGCACACCAUUCUGCUUACACAGUACACCCAGGUUCAACUAAGAUGUACCGUGAUUUAAGGGAGCAUUAUUGGUGGGGUGGCAUGAAGAGGGAUGUUGCAGACUUUGUUGCUAAAUGUUUGACUUGUCAGCAGGUUAAGGCAGAACAUCAGAGACCAUCUGGGUUACUUCAGCCAUUGCCUAUUCCCGAGUGGAAGUGGGAGCAUAUUGCCAUGGACUUUGUUGUGGGUUUACCUAGUACACGAGGUGGUUACAAUGCAAUCUGGGUGAUAGUGGACAGAUUGACAAAAUCUGCUCAUUUCCUUCCUGUGAAGACUACAUAUGACUUUGCUAAACUUGCACAGUUGUAUAUAAACAAGAUUGUUAGUCUUCAUGGAGUUCCAGUUUCCAUUGUCUCUGAUCGUGGUACUCAGUUUACUUCUCGAUUUUGGAAGAAAUUCCAAGAAGCUUUAGGAACACGAGUAGACUUUAGUACUGCUUUUCACCCUCAGACGGAUGGACAGUCAGAAAGGACCAUACAGACAUUAGAGGACAUGCUUCGUGCAUGCGUUAUGGAUUUUGGUGGCUGUUGGGAUCAUCAUUUGCCUUUAGUGGAGUUUGCUUAUAAUAACAGUUAUCAGGCAAGUAUAGAGAUGGCUCCAUAUGAGGCAUUAUAUGGUCGAAAGUGUAGGUCACCGGUUUGUUGGGAUGAAGUUGGAGAAAGAAGGCUUACUAGACCAGAGUUGAUACAAUUAACUUCAGAGAAGGUUCGACUAAUUCGUGAUCGACUUUUGACUGCUCAAAGUCGACAGAGAAGUUAUGUUGACCCUAAGCAUAAAGAUGUACAAUUUAUGAUUGGUGAUCAUGUAUUUCUGAGAGUUUCCCCUAUGAAAGGAAUCAUGAGGUUUGGGAAGAAAGGGAAGCUUAGCCCUCGUUUUGUUGGUCCAUUUGAAAUUUUGGAGAGAAUUGGAGCAGUUGCUUACCGUUUAGCCCUUCCACCUGGUUUUGCACAUGUACAUCCAGUUUUCCAUAUUUCUAUGCUUAGGAAGUAUGUACCAGAUCCAUCUCAUGUUUUACAACCUCAAACCAUGCAAUUUAGGGAUGAUAUGUCAUAUGAGGAGCAACCAGUAAAGAUUUUAGAUCGACAAAUUAGGAAACUCCGGUCUAAGGAAGUGGCUUUGGUCAAAGUCUUGUGGCAUAAUCACUCAAGUAGUGAGGCCACAUGGGAGGCAGAAUCUGAAAUGCGAGCCAAAUAUCCUCACUUAUUUGAUUCUUCAGGUUAGAAUUUUGUCUAUUCAAAUUCGGGGACCGAAUUUUUUUUAAGGGGGGAAGUAUGUGAAAACCCAUAUACAUUUAUU
rnacentral:misc_RNA from 1 species